AGGGAAGCUAUGUCUGUGCCCUGACAUUGCCACUCCCUGGCUGCAGUUCAGCCGGUGACAGUCCUGCCCUGGAAUUCUUGACAUACCUCUGGGGUCUUUCCAAUAGACUUCCUGUUUUGCUGAGCCUGGCCGGAGUGGCUUUCUAGCACUCACAACCAAAGGAGUCCUAAAAACUUUGGAACAGGCCAGCUGGAGCCAAGAACAGGGGGCAGGCCAUCAUUGAACAGAGGACGGUACAUUCCCAAGCCAAAUAUGGUAAGCCUGGCUUGGCCAGAGGGCCCCGCUGGACCUCCUGUCCAUGCAGAACUCGGCAGAGAGGCCAGAAGGAGGAAAGAAGCCCAUUGUUCUGAGUGCCUGGCUGCAGGGUGGGAGCCAAGAGGCCCAGGGGGACAAAGUCAAAAUCCAAGGCAAGUCCCAGGCUGGAGUGGCGUGGGGGGCAUGGCUGGGAACGGGAACCCAGGGGAGCGGAAGCCAAAGAUGCCUGGAUUUCAUGGCCAAAUAGAAGGGGCAGAAAGCCCAGGAGUGGCCCAGGGUCCAGCCAGCAGGGAAGAAGACAGCCUUGGGACACCAGAGAGCCCUGAUGACUGUCCCAGGGAAGGCUCUGUUCUGUGCGUGUGAAUACACCUCUUAAAGGCCCAGCACCCCUGUCACCGGCAUCUCCCUGCCAGGUAGGGCCAUUGAGAUGGAAAUCCAGUGCCUGAGCCCAAAUCAAACCUAAGUCAGAGCCAGGCCUGAUGGCACCUGUCAUCCCAGCUACUCAGGGGGCUAAGGCAGGAGGAUCACAAGUUCAAGGCCAGCCUGGAGGACUUAGUGAGAACUUGUCUCAAAAUUUAAAAAUGAAAAGGGCUAGAGGUGUAGCUCCAUGGUAAAGCGCCCCCUGGGUUCAACCCCCAGUACCCCCACCACCACCAAAAAAAAAAAAAAUCAGGAUCACAAAGCUCAUCUUAAGAGCGGUCCCUGAGGCUGAAUUCUACACCUCUUUACUUCUGUUUUCAGACCGGUCAUAGGGUCAUAGCAAGCUUGCUUAUCUACAGCUGGGCUCCUCAGCCUGGCUAUGACACUCAGGGCAGGUUGUUCUCUGCCAGAGGAGGUGCCUCCUAUACUGCAGGAUGCUUAGCAGCCUCCCUGGCCUCUACCCACUGGGUGCCAGCGGCACCCACCCUCCCAUGUGUCAACCAAAAUGUCUCCAGACAUUGCCUUAUGAUACAGAUCAUCUCAGGUGAGAUCCACUAUGCUGCAGCGACAGAUUGAGAACCAGCCAAAAAAUCAGAAAAGGCCACAGCCCAGGCCAGCCAGCUGAGCAGCAGAGCGAGGAGCAGGACAAUAGCCCUUAAGGACAGGUGGCCUAUGGCGGAGCAAGCAAUCCCACUUUGUGCUCAUCAGAGAACUAGGGCUUCCCUGCCCAGAAUGCCAUCUGUGGCUGCCUGCCUUUUGGUGAGGAGGCAGGACAAAGUCUGUUAUCCUCAUCUUCUUCUUUCACUUAAAUUAACAAAUCAAGGAGUGAAGAGGUUCAUUGAAUUAGUCUUGGGACCAAGGUCCUCCAUCCCAGCUCAGCUCUCUGGCCCCUCGACCUCCCUGAUGGACGUUCCCAGGGAGCCGCAGCAAGGUGUGACCAGGCCUGUGUGAGAAAGCGGGUGGAGGAAAUGUGUACCCACAGAGUGACAGCGCUUCCCUGGGGAAAACAGGAUUACAGGGGUCUUUGAUCCUUCUCUUAAGCAGUGCUAGACAGAGUCCGGCACCUAGUAGGCUCCCACUCAGUAUUUGUUGACUUAAAUGAGAUUUAGGUUUUAAUCUAAACCCAAUUAAAAUAUAAAUGAUCUAAACAAAAUUAUGGUUUACAGAUUUCUACAUUAAUUCUGUACUGCUUUGGGACCUGGAGAGUGACUUAGUCUGUUGUGGGCUGCUAUAACAGAAUACCUGAGACGGGAGAGUUUAUAAAGAAUAGAGAGCGGGGCACAGUGGUGCAUGUCUGUAAUCCCAACAGCUCAGGAGGCUGAGGCAGGAGGAUUGUGAGCUGAAAGCCGGCCUCAGCAAUUUAGCAAGGCCCUAAGCAAUUCAGUAAGAUCCUGUCUCUAAAUAAAAUACAAAAUAGGGGAUGUGGUUCAGUGGUUAAGCACCCUUGGGUUCAAUCCCUGGUACCAAAAAAACAAGAGAGAUCUAUUUCCUAUAGUUCUAGAGGCUGAGAAGUGAGACUCUGGGCUGACUCUGGUGAGGGCUUCUUUGCUGUGUUCUAGGAUGACAGUCGGCAUCACCUGGCCAGAGAGCAAGAGGGGGUCCAUCUCGAGAUAACUGACCCGCUGCAGCCGUGUGGACAUUAAUCCACUCCCUCGAGCCAAGCCCUCUUCAUAGGCUCCAUUUCUCAACACCGUGGUGUUGCCGGUUAAGUUACCAACACAUGAAAUCAGGGAGACGUAUUCAAGCCACAGCGGAGGGUGAUGGGUGUUCACGCCUUUCUUUCUUUUUUUUGCUUUUUGAUUUGUUGUGGUUUUCGCAGGGCUGGGGAUGGAACCUAGGGCCUUGUGCAUGCCAGGCCAGUGCUCUACCACUGAUAUGCACCCCCAAUUCUAUUUUAGCUUUUUUUUUUUUUGGUGGGGAGGUACCAAGGAUUGAACUCAGGGGCGUUCAACCACUAACCCACAUCCCCAGCCCUAUUCUGUAUUUUAUUUAGAGACGGGGUCUUGCUGAGUUGCUUAGCACUUCAGUUUUGCUGAGGCUGGCUUUGAACUCCCGGUCCUCUUGCCUCAGCCUCCUGAGCCCGUGGAAUCACAGGCGUGAGCCACUGCACCCAACAAGGCUUUUUUGAUGAGAUCUUCUCAGCACUUCAGGGCCCAUCUCCAAACCUGCUUCUGUCCCAUGACCUGUCCCCUCGUCUUGCCAGUACUUUGACAUGCUACAGUUAUCAUGUAGGUCAGAGGAGUUAAGACUCUCUGUACCCACUUGGAGCCAGGUGCAUGGGGCAGACAAGCAAUGCCUGCAGGCUGGAGGUGUCUCUCUCAUUUCUUGUUUGCAGCAGGCACUGUCCUCACUCCUCAAGGGGAAGAGAAGAUGGAGAGCUUCCCUAUGGGGUCACCAUUGCAAAAGAAGUACUGUAGCUGGGCACCUGAAAUCUCUUAAACCAUAUUCUCCUCUUUUUUCUCAGAACAUCAUGACCAAAACAUGAGCUGAGUUAGACGGAUGGCUGUCUGGCACAUGCACAGGAAGCUUGCGUGCACGCACACAAGUGCGUGUGGAUGUGUGUGGGGCUGUGAGCGUGCUUGAGUGCGUAAGUGUGCGUGGGAGGGUAUGGUGUGCUGUGUGCACAUGCGCUCUCAGGUCCUCCACAUGCAUGUUCUACUUGGGGUCAUUUGGGGUCUGCAUUCCAGUUGUUGGAAACAGAAACUGAGCCAAGAGGCCUCUUUGGAGAUCAGGGAUCUGAGUCUCGGUCCUUCCUCCUGCAGCAGAAAUGGACGCUGAGGUGGGCUCGGUGGCUCACACCUAUAAUCCCAGCAGCUUGGGAGGCUGAAGCAGGAGGAUCACAAGUUCAAAGCCACUCAGCAACUCAGCGAGGCCCUCAGCAACUCAGUGAGACCCUGUCUCUAAAUAAAAUACAAAAAAGGGCUGGGGAUGUGGCUCAGUGGUUAAGUGUCCCUGAGUUCAAUCCCAGGUACCAAAAAAAAAAAAAAAUGGAUGCUGUGGUGAAUCACACUGUUGGCUGGACAGCGGGGACUCCUGGCUGGGAUACAUGGCUCCCAAGCUGCCUAAGUGAUGUCACCAUCAGACCUUCCUAUAGGGAAAGCUCCAGCAAGACGGCCCCUAGCACAGUGUGAGGCUCUGGACCGUGGCCACUGACCUGAAGGAUUACAUCUCAGGAUGUCAAGGUCGGGGCACACAGUUUGGCCUGUGUUCAGAGACUUGACGGAUCCUUCACCUUCUCUUUGGUUUUUGGGGUUUUGUUUGUUUGUUUGUUUUUGUACCAGGAAUUGAACCCAGGGUGCUUAACCACUGAGCCACAUCCCCAGCCCUUUUUGUAUUUUAUUUAGAGACAGGGUCUCACUGAGUUGCUUAGGGCCUUGCUAAGUUACCGAGGCUGGCUUUGAACCUGCAAACCUCCUGCCUCAGCCUCCCGCAUGUUGCUAGAAUUGCAAGUGCACACCACCGUGCCCAGCCCUUCACCCCCUCUUUGAAGAGGUGAGCAGGGAGCCAUGCCAUUCCUCCUGGUCCAGGAGAUUCACAUCCUGGGAAUUCCCAAGGCUCUGCCCUUAAAGAUCUAAUUUGAAAUCCAAAUUCAGCCGUGGGAGAAGCCGACCUCCUCAUCCGAUUCUGGUUCUUAGUCCAGGGUACAAGACGAGAUCUCACGCCUGCUCUGCUGGUGGGAAUUUGGCAUGAGACUUGUGCCCUGAGAACAGCAGUCAUGGAAAGACCCUGGGGCUCCCUCUCAGGGAGGCCAAGAUGAACCAGGAACUGCUGGGCCAGCGGGAGAGGCACAGCAGAGAAGCCGCUCAAGGUCACCUUAAGAAGACACUUUGGGGGACAUGGCCCAGGCGCCCUGCCAAGUGCUGCAUCAAACGCCGGCUCAGGGAUCUUCAAAGCAAUGCCCAAGGGCACUGGGGCCUGAAGCUGCUCAGCAGACAGAGCAGCAAACCCAGGCUCAGAAAUCGGAAGUGACUUUCUUGUUAUCACACAGCUAUCGAGUGGCAGAGCCAGGAUUCAAACAAGGUCAGGAAUGAAGUACAAAAUGUCCAGCAAUCAAUAGAGCGGCUGGAUAAACAAUGGUUUAUUUAUGGAAUACUGGGCAGCCGCUGACAUUUCUUGGUAGAAAAAUAUUGAAUGGCCUGGAAAGAUGUGCAAGAUAUGUAGCGAAGUAGAGGAAAAGAGAGGCCACCAAGCAGUGUGGGCUGCAGAUGGGUUGUUAAAAAGUAAAAUAAACAUGGCGAGACCCUGACUCAAAAGAAAAAUAAAAAGGAUGUAGCUCAGUGGUAGAACAUCCUUGAGGUCAAUCCCUAAUGCUGAUAGACAGAUAAUAAGCUAAGCUCAGUGGCUCACGCCUGUAAUCCCAGUGGCUCAGGAGGCAGAGGCAGGAGGAUUGCAAGUUCAAAGCCAGCCUCAGCAAUGUAGUGAGGCCCUAAGCAAUUCAGUGAGACCCUAUCUCAACAAAAAAUAUAAAAAGGGGCUAAGGAUGUGGCUCAGUGGUUGAGUGCCCCUGGGUUCAAUUCCCAGUGCCAAAUAAUAAUAAUAAUAAUAAUAUAAAAACCAGAAAAGUAAAUACAGAGGUAUUAUUUCCCAAAAGAAAAUCAAAACAUGAGCUGUGGCAUUCUCUGGAUAACAGGAGUGGGUAAGAUUUUUACCCUUGCUUUGUCCUGUUUUCUUACGACAUUCAUUUUGUAACAAGAACAAAUCUGAUAUGGAAGUGCCCCAGCUGUGUUCCUGCAGGGACGGCAGAGGGCAGGGGGCAUGGGUGGCACUUGUUGGUGAGGGUUGAGCAAAAGCAGGAGGGUGUGGCGGGAAGCGAUGCCUUCCUAGGAAGGCAACCUGGCUCAGGCUGAGGAUCCUGUGUUGAUCAGAAUUCACUGGACUUUUCAAAGUCCAUUUCCUGCCCCGAGGUUAGCCUGCCUUUCAGCCCCUCUGAUGAAUCACACGGACCACACGUGGAGACCCGCCUCCUGUUUUGUAAUCCUCCCUGCAUUCUUAGCCAAUCUGCCAGCCAGAGCCAACCUCAGGUCCUGACAGUCAUCGCAGUGUCCUUGGUCUCAGCAGACCGUGGAGGGGUGAGCAGACUCCUGGCUCAGACCCUGAGGGGGCAAGAAGUGGCUGGGUCAAAUGCCUUGUGCCAUCAGUAAGAAGCAUUCUGCCAUCCCCCCAACCCUCCCCUGCUCUCUGCUGAGACUCUCCGGGGAAGAGGGGAUUCUCAGACAACCCUUUGGCCACUGCACUUGGCUCUUGCCUGGAAUAAUUAGAGACAGAGCCAGGAAUGAUGUCAUGCCUCUGCAGGAGAUGGAGGAUGACUUUGAGCAAGGCCUUGGCCUUGGCCCUCUCGUUUGUCAAGCAAGUUGGGGUGGACUUGACAAGUUCUAGCAUUCCAGCUCCAGCAUCCUGAUGUGAAGACAGUCAUCCCCCUGGCAAAUCACACUCGAAGAGAGUGGAGGCCCAGCUUUGCACACUCAAGUCCCUUCUCACCCUCUUCCUCCAAAUUCCCCAGGGAACCCUGCUUCCUCUCCUGGUUCUACCCACAUGGCUGUCAAUCAAGGUGCCCCACCUCCUUCCAGGGCGUGGUGCCUACUCCAGAGGCUGAGGCAGGAGGAUCACAAAUUCAAGGCCAGCCUCAACAAUGUAGGUGGGUCCUAAGCAACUUCAGGGAGACCCUGUCUCCAAAUUUAAAAAUAAAAAGCUCUGGGAUGUGGCUUGGUGGUUAAGUGCCCCUGGGUUCAAUCCCUGAUGCCCAGAACAAAAAGGAAUGGAGGGUGGUAAGCACAAGGCUUGGGCUCCAUCCCCAGAACCAAAAAGAAAGAACAAGGUUUAUUUGACUCACAGUUUUGAAGGCUUCAGCCUUAGACAAUUGGCCCCCUUGUUUUGUUGUUUUGUUUUGUUUUGGGUACCAGGGAUUGAACCCAGGGGCACUCAACCACUAAACCACAUCCCCAGCCCUGUUUUGCAUUUUAUUUAGAGAUAGUUUCUCACUGAGUUGCUUAGCGCCUCACUUUUUCCUGAGGCUGGCUUUGAACUCAUGAUCCUCCUGCCUCAGCCUCCCCCCGUGCUGCCAGGAUUACAGGUGUGCACCACUGUGCCAGGCAGUCCCCCUUGUUUUUGGACCUCUGGAGAGACAGCACAUUAUGGGGGCAGGAAAUGGCAAAAUUCUCACCUCAAAACAGAGAGGAAGAGGAAGAAACUGAGGUCUCCCAACAUCCCUUUCAAGAUCACUCCCCAGUGACUGGAAGGACCAAGCCUUUAACACCAGGUCUAUGGGGGACAAUUAUCCAAACCCCGAUAGGAAACACAGAAGCUACGUUUGGGCUGGACACGGGAACUGUGAUGCCCAUCUUGCAGCAAGCUGUCCCCAGGAGCUGGGAGUGGACGGGGCCUCUGGAUGCAGGGCACACCAGUGUGUGCUCCACAAUCAAUGCUCACCCUGUCAUGGGAGGCUGGCACCCUCUAGCACUGGGAAUGCCGGGACCUGGAGUAGAAUUAGCCCGUCAGGCCCUGCUGAUACGUGGCAUUUGGAAUCAUCCCCUCACUGCCUCAAGCUGACAGAGGACGCUGGCCCCAGCCACAAGGCCAAGGAAGAUCUGGGUCUUCAUGUCAUGGGUGGUAUGUCGGCGGCACCUGGAUGCCGAUCAGUGUUCCUGAAUGGUGUCGUCCAGGAUUCCAGUGCUGAAUCCUAUCCCACUGUGACUGUGGUGGAGAUGGGGCCUCUGGGAGGUGAUUAAGGUUGAACAAGGUCCCCCCCCGGGGGGGGGGUCUUAUCCCAAAGAAUUGUUGGCCUUCCAAGAAGAGGAAGAGACUGCUGGCUCUCCCUGAUGCCACACAUCUGCGUGCUCUUUCCCUCCCACCUCCCAGGGACAUGCCACGUGGGCACAGUGGAAGGCCGCCAUCUAUAAGCCAUGAAGAGGACCCUCACCUGAACCUUGCUGUGUUGGCUCCUAGUCUUGAACUUCCAGCUCCCAGAACCGAGAAAAUAAAGACCUGUUACGUAAACUACCCAGUCUGUGG
rnacentral:lncRNA from 1 species